rnacentral:rRNA from 1 species
GAUGAACGCUAGCUACAGGCUUAACACAUGCAAGUCGAGGGACCGGCGCACGGGUGAGUAACACGUAUCCCACCCGCCCUUUACUCGGGGAUAGCCUUUCGAAAGAAAGAUUAAUACCCGAUAUAAAGGACGGGGAUGCGUUCAAUUAGGUUGUUGGUGAGGUAACGGCCCACCAAGCCUUCGCUGGAUAGGGGUUCUGAGAGGAAGGUCCACCACAGUGGAACUGAGACACGGUCCAAACUCGUACGGGAGGCAGCAGUGAGGAAGAUUGGUGAAUGGGCGUUAGCCUGAACCAGCCAAGUAGAGUGAAGGAUGAAGGCUUAUGGGUCGUAAACUUCGUUUAGAUAAGAAGAUGUAUUAUAUGAAUAAGGAUCGGCUAACUCCGUGCCAGAAGCCGCGGUAAUAC